UGCGUGGAUGUUGAAGUGAUGUAUGCC
rnacentral:piRNA from 1 species